rnacentral:rRNA from 1 species
UACGUAGGGUGCGAGCGUUAAUCGGAAUUACUGGGCGUAAAGCGUGCGCAGGCGGCUUUGCAAGACAGAUGUGAAAUCCCCGGGCUCAACCUGGGAACUGCAUUUGUGACUGCAUGGCUGGAGUGCGGCAGAGGGGGAUGGAAUUCCGCGUGUAGCAGUGAAAUGCGUAGAUAUGCGGAGGAACACCGAUGGCGAAGGCAAUCCCCUGGGCCUGCACUGACGCUCAUGCACGAAAGCCGUGGGG